rnacentral:lncRNA from 1 species
AUGAUUCCAGCCAUCCUCCUUGUAUCCCAAGGAAGACGAACUUGGGUGCAGGUGCUCUGCACACAGCAGCAGACAACCCUGCUCCAGCUGCAGAGCUGUACCGGUACCGCAUGUGGCUGUAGGAGUUGGGCAGAUGUGGGAAGCUGCACGCUGAAGGAAGUCACCUGUCACUCUGCCAUCCUGUGGGAGAGGUUCUGCUUGCUGGAUUCAUCACUCAUGGAACUCCGUCGUCCUUUUAACUUGCAUCUUCCUGAAGGUGGUCUUGACAACUUAUGUAAACAAUUUCGGUCUUAUCAAGUGACCCAGGGUGAAACUGAAGCAGAGGCAAGGACUAGCUGGUUGCAAUUAAAUCCCAACAAAGAAACACCAGUCUUGGUUUGACAUGGAGGUCACAGUACAGCAGAUUUUUGUCAGUGGCUUUUCCCACUUGGCAUUCUUCGCACUAUCAAUUUUUCAAGCGGACUUCAGACCUCACACACAUUUCCUGAAGUUGGUGCCCCUUUCCUUAGCGACAGCAAGUGAUGACCUUUUCGGAGCCAGAGAAAUAAGCAGCCAGAAGUCUGACAACUGAACAUGUGUGCGAGUUCAUUUGUGUUCCCUGAAUCAUCUGCACUCCAGACACAACUGAAUUUAGGAGCAUCUAGUUUCUAAAGAAAGCUAACACACCUGCUCCAUGCUGCAAAAAUCGCAUGAGUUUGUAAUGAGCCUAGUACAUAUUACAGUUAGAGAUGCUUAAUUUUGGGGGCUGAGGAAUGGUUUGGGGGCUAAAGUCACUUCUUUUCUUCCAGAGUAUCAGGGUUUGAUUCCCAGCACCAACAUGGUAGCACACAGCAGCCUAAAGACUCCAGUUCUAACACCUCCCCAGGCUCCUCCAGGGAGGUGUACUGAUAUAUAAAACAGGGGAUACAUGCACACAUAAAAGAAAAUAAAGUAUUUACAAUGUUUAAUUUGUAAUACCA